GCUGUGUACUGUUGCUGAAGGCACUGGAAUAGCACUGAGAGCCCUAGAUGCUGUUACUGGACACAACUGUGGAGCCAGAAGAUUGCUGGAUGCUGUUGGUAGAGUUGCAUGUGGAGCCAGGAGGUUGCUAGAUGCUGUUGAUGAAGUUGCAUGUGGAGCCAGGAGGUUGCUAGAUGCUGUUGAUGAAGUUGCAUGUGGAGCCAGGAGGUUGCUAGAUGUUGUUGAUAGAGUUGCAUGUGGAGCCAGGAGACUAUUGGAUGGUGUUGAUAGAGUUGCUUGUGGAGCCAGGAGGUUGCUAGAUGCUGUUGAUGAAGUUGCAUGUGGAGCCAGGAGGUUGCUAGAUGUUGUUGAUAGAGUUGCAUGUGGAGCCAGGAGGUUGCUAGAUGUUGUUGAUAGAGUUGCAUGUGGAGCCAGGAGGUUGCUAGAUGCUGUUGGUGAAGUUGCAUUUGGAGCCA
rnacentral:lncRNA from 1 species